rnacentral:lncRNA from 1 species
GGGAGCGACUUUUGACGGCGCAGAGUAGACAGAGGAGCUACUGUAACAUACCAGAUUUUAGUAUAAAAAUAAAAAUAAAUAAAAAUAGUGUGAGAAACUAUUUUUAUUUAAUUUAGAGAAGUAAAAUAUAAGUCAGAAGUGACUUGUGCUGAAAUCGGAAUGAAAACAGGAGAUUUAGAAUUUUCUGUUGGAAACAGGACAGAUAAAUUAACAGAAGAUGCACAGUGUCAGAAAAUUAUAAAAACUGGAGGAUAAGUCAGAAUUAUUUUUAUGAGGCUAGAUUUAAAGUUUCAUAUCAUUCUGACACCCGGAAGGUGAAAAAUAAAAUCCGAAAGCUAUCUGAUAAAGAUUACAGUUCGGUACAGUUUUCGGUGACCAAACAGGGUCGAAACUGAGAUAUUAAA